rnacentral:rRNA from 1 species
AUACGGAGGGUGCAAGCGUUACGCGGAAUCACUGGGCGUAAAGCGCGCGCAGGCGGCUAUUUAAGUUGGAUGUGAAAGCCUACGGCUCAACCGUAGAACUGCAUCCAAAACUAUUUAGCUAGAGUGUGGGAGAGGAAGAUGGAAUUAGUUGUGUAGGGGUAAAAUCCGUAGAGAUAACUAGGAAUACCAAAAGCGAAGGCAAUCUUCUGGAACACUACUGACGCUGAGGCGCGAAAGCGUGGGGAGCAAACAGGAUUAGAAACCCCUGUAGUCC